rnacentral:rRNA from 1 species
GAUUAAGCUCUUUCGAGCCAGUAUUUCUGCCGAACGCUGUGAGUAACACGUGCUCAAUCUUCCCUUCACUCUGUUUUAAGCCCUGAAAACGCCGUCUAAUACCGGAUAAUACCUGCCUGGGCAUCUGAGUGCUUUAAAAGCUCCGGCGGUGAAGGAUGAGCCCGCGGCCUAUCAGCUUGUUGAUGAAUUAAUGGCUCACCAAGGCGACGACGGGUAUCCGGCCUGAGAGGGCGCCCGGCCACACUGGGACUGACCCUGGCUCAACUUUAAUACGGGAGGCAGCAGUGGGGAAUAUUGCACAAUGGGCGAAAGCCUGAUGCAGCGACGCCGCGUGAGGGAUGACGGCCUUCGGGUUGUAAACCUCUUUCAGCAGGGAAGAAGCGAGAGUGACGGUACCUGCAGAAGAAGCGCCGGCUAACUACGUGCCAGCAGCCGCGGUAAUACGUAGGGCGCAAGCGUUGUCCGGAAUUAUUGGGCGUAAAGAGCUCGUAGGCGGCUUGUCACGUCGGGUGUGAAAGCCCGGGGCUUAACCCCGGGUCUGCAUUCGAUACGGGCUAGCUAGAGUGUGGUAGGGGAGAUCGGAAUUCCUGGUGUAGCGGUGAAAUGCGCAGAUAUCAGGAGGAACACCGGUGGCGAAGGCGGAUCUCUGGGCCAUUACUGACGCUGAGGAGCGAAAGCGUGGGGAGCGAACAGGAUUAGAUACCCUGGUAGUCCACGCCGUAAACGGUGGGAACUAGGUGUUGGCGACAUUCCACGUCGUCGGUGCCGCAGCUAACGCAUUAAGUUCCCCGCCUGGGGAGUACGGCCGCAAGGCUAAAACUCAAAGGAAUUGACGGGGGCCCGCACAAGCAGCGGAGCAUGUGGCUUAAUUCGACGCAACGCGAAGAACCUUACCAAGGCUUGACAUACACCGGAAACGGCCAGAGAUGGUCGCCCCCUUGUGGUCGGUGUACAGGUGGUGCAUGGCUGUCGUCAGCUCGUGUCGUGAGAUGUUGGGUUAAGUCCCGCAACGAGCGCAACCCUUGUUCUGUGUUGCCAGCAUGCCCUUCGGGGUGAUGGGGACUCACAGGAGACUGCCGGGGUCAACUCGGAGGAAGGUGGGGACGACGUCAAGUCAUCAUGCCCCUUAUGUCUUGGGCUGCACACGUGCUACAAUGGCAGGUACAAUGAGCUGCGAAGCCGUGAGGCGGAGCGAAUCUCAAAAAGCCUGUCUCAGUUCGGAUUGGGGUCUGCAACUCGACCCCAUGAAGUCGGAGUUGCUAGUAAUCGCAGAUCAGCAUUGCUGCGGUGAAUACGUUCCCGGGCCUUGUACACACCGCCCGUCACGUCACGAAAGUCGGUAACACCCGAAGCCGGUGGCCC